rnacentral:rRNA from 1 species
UGGGGAAUUUUGGACAAUGGGCGAAAGCCUGAUCCAGCAAUGCCGCGUGUGUGAAGAAGGCCUUCGGGUUGUAAAGCACUUUUGUCCGGAAAGAAAUCCUUGGCUCUAAUACAGUCGGGGGAUGACGGUACCGGAAGAAUAAGCACCGGCUAACUACGUGCCAGCAGCCGCGGUAAUACGUAGGGUGCAAGCGUUAAUCGGAAUUACUGGGCGUAAAGCGUGCGCAGGCGGUUUGCUAAGACCGAUGUGAAAUCCCCGGGCUCAACCUGGGAACUGCAUUGGUGACCGGCAGGCUAGAGUAUGGCAGAGGGGGGUAGAAUUCCACGUGUAGCAGUGAAAUGCGUAGAGAUGUGGAGGAAUACCGAUGGCGAAGGCAGCCCCCUGGGCCAAUACUGACGCUCAUGCACGAAAGCGUGGGGAGCAAACAGGAUUAGAUACCCUGGUAGUCCACGCCCUAAACGAUGUCAACUAGUUGUUGGGGAUUCAUUUCCUUAGUAACGUAGCUAACGCGUGAAGUUGACCGCCUGGGGAGUACGGUCGCAAGAUUAAAACUCAAAUGAAUUGACGGGGUCAU